AUUGCACGCUGGCGGCAGGCCUAACACAUGCAAGUCGAACGCGUGGCGGAAGGGUGAGUAAUGUCUGGGAAACUGCCUGAUGGAGGGGGAUACCUACUGGAAACGGUAGCUAAUACCGCAUACCCUCGGAUGUGCCCAGAUGGGAUUAGCUAGUAGGUGGGGUAAAGGCUCACCUAGGCGACGAUCCCUAGCUGGUCUUCGAGGAUGACCAGCCACACUGGAACUGAGACACGGUCCAGACUCAGACGGUAGGCAGCAGUGGGGAAUAUUGCACAAUGGGCGCAAGCCGGAUGCAGCCAUGCCGCGUGUAUGAAGAAGGCCUUCGGGUUGUAAAGUACUUUCAGCGGGGAGGCGUUACCCGCAGAAGAAGCACCGGCUAACGCCGUGCCAGCAGCCGCGGGAAUAC
rnacentral:rRNA from 1 species